rfam:Actinomyces sp. oral taxon 175 str. F0384 Contig96, whole genome shotgun sequence.
UCGUGUGCUCUGGGGUCGGUGAAAGUCCGAACCGGCGGUGACAGUCCGCGACCCGGUCGCAUCCAGCGACCGGCUGACCAGGUGGAACUCCUGGACCGACGGUGAGAGUCCGGAUGGGAAGCGCACACGG